rnacentral:rRNA from 1 species
UACGUAGGGACCAAGCGUUGUUCGGAUUUACUGGGCGUAAAGGGCGCGUAGGCGGCGUGUUAAGUCACUUGUGAAAUCUCUGAGCUUAACUCAGAACGGUCAAGUGAUACUGAUGUGCUAGAGUGCAGAAGGGGCAACCGGAAUUCUUGGUGUAGCGGUGAAAUGCGCAGAUAUCAGGAGGAACACCGAUGGCGAAGGCAGGUCUCUGGGCCAUAACUGACGCUGAGAAGCGAAAGCAUGGGGAGCGAACAGG